GAUGAACGCUGGCGGCGUGCCUAAUACAUGCAAGUCGAGCGAACAGAUGAGGAGCUUGCUCCUCUGACGUUAGCGGCGGACGGGUGAGUAACACGUGGAUAACCUACCUAUAAGACUGGGAUAGCUUCGGGAAACCGGAGCUAAUAGCGGAUAAUAUAUUGAACCGCAUGGUUCAAUAGUGAAAGACGGUUUUGCUGUCUCUUAUAGAUGGAUCCGCGCCGCAUUAGCUAGUUGGUAAGGUAACGGCUUACCAAGGCAACGAUGCGUAGCCGACCUGAGAGGAUGAUCGGCCACACUGGAACUGAGACACGGUCCAGACUACUACGGGAGGCAGCAGUGGGGAAUCGUCCGCAAGGGGCGAAAGCCUGACGGAGCAACGCCGAGUGGGUGAUGAAGGUAUUCGGAUCGUAAAACUCUGUUAUUAGGGAAGAACAAAUGUGUAAGUAACUAUGCACGUCUUGACGGUACCUAAUCAGAAAGCCACGGCUAACUACGUG
rnacentral:rRNA from 1 species